rnacentral:rRNA from 2 species
AAAUUGAAGAGUUUGAUCAUGGCUCAGAUUGAACGCUGGCGGCAGGCCUAACACAUGCAAGUCGAGCGGUAGCACAGAAGAGCUUGCUCUUUGGGUGACGAGCGGCGGACGGGUGAGUAAUGUCUGGGAAGCUGCCUGAUGGAGGGGGAUAACUACUGGAAACGGUAGCUAAUACCGCAUAACCUCGCAAGAGCAAAGAGGGGGACCUUCGGGCCUCUCGCCAUCAGAUGUGCCCAGAUGGGAUUAGCUAGUAGGUGAGGUAAUGGCUCACCUAGGCGACGAUCCCUAGCUGGUCUGAGAGGAUGACCAGCCACACUGGAACUGAGACACGGUCCAGACUCCUACGGGAGGCAGCAGUGGGGAAUAUUGCACAAUGGGCACAAGCCUGAUGCAGCCAUGCCGCGUGUGUGAAGAAGGCCUUCGGGUUGUAAAGCACUUUCAGCGGGGAGGAAGGCAGUAAGGUUAAUAACCUUGCUGAUUGACGUUACCCGCAGAAGAGCACCGGCUAACUCCGUGCCAGCAGCCGCGGUAAUACGGAGGGUGCAAGCGUUAAUCGGAAUGACUGGGCGUAAAGCGCACGCAGCGGUCUGUUAAGUUGGAUGUG